AAGAAGCGAAGCGGUGACGUGGAGCAAACCUCAGAAAGCCAAUCUCAGUUCGGAUUGUAGGCUGCAACUCGCCUACAUGAAGUUGGAAUCGCUAGUAAUCGCGAAUCAGAAUGUCGCGGUGAAUACGUUCCCGGGUCUUGUACACACCGCCCGUCACACCACGAGAGUUUACAACACCCGAAGUCAGUGGCCUAACCGCAAGGAGGGAGCUGCCUAAGGGUGGGGUAGAUGAUUGGGGUGAAGUCGUAACAAGGUAUC
rnacentral:rRNA from 1 species